UUACGGAGAGUUUGAUCCUGGCUCAGGACAAACGCUGGCGGCGUGUAUUAGGCAUGCAAGUCGAGCGAGAAGCCAGCCUUCGGGCUGGUGGAGAGCGGCGGACGGGUGAGUAACACGUGGGUAACCUGCCCCGGAGUGGGGGAUAACCCGGCGAAAGCCGGGCUAAUACCGCAUAAGACCCCCGAUGAGAGAUCGGGUGGUGAAAGCUCCGGCGCCCCGGGAGGGGCCCGCGGCCGAUUAGCUAGUUGGUGAGGUAACGGCCCACCAAGGCGACGAUCGGUAGCUGGUCUGAGAGGAUGAUCAGCCACACGGGGACUGAGAACGGCCCCGACUCCUACGGGAGGCAGCAGCUAAGAAUCUUGCGCAAUGGGCGAAAGCCUGACGCAGCAACACCGCGUGAGGGAUGAAGGCCUUCGGGUUGUAAACCUCUUUUACGAGGGA
rnacentral:rRNA from 1 species